rnacentral:rRNA from 1 species
UACGGAGGCAUCUCCUGUGCGUGGAAAGAAUUUUGGUCAAGGAUGGACUCGCGGCCUAUCAGGUAGUUGGUGAGGUAACGGCUCACCAAGCCUACGACGGGUAGCCGGCCUGAGAGGGUGACCGGCCACACUGGGACUGAGACACGGCCCAGACUCCUACGGGAGGCAGCAGUGGGGAAUAUUGCACAAUGGGCGCAAGCCUGAUGCAGCAACGCCGCGUGAGGGAUGACGGCCUUCGGGUUGUAAACCUCUUUUAGUAGGGAAGAAGCGAAAGUGACGGUACCUGCAGAAAAAGCACCGGCUAACUACGUGCCAGCAGCCGCGGUAAUACGUAGGGUGCAAGCGUUGUCCGGAAUUAUUGGGCGUAAAGAGCUCGUAGGCGGUUUGUCGCGUCUGCUGUGAAAACCCGAGGCUCAACCUCGGGCCUGCAGUGGGUACGGGCAGACUAGAGUGCGGUAGGGGAGAAUGGAAUUCCUGGUGUAGCGGUGGAAUGCGCAGAUAUCAGGAGGAACACCGAUGGCGAAGGCAGUUCUCUGGGCCGUAACUGACGCUGAGGAGCGAAAGCGUGGGGAGCGAACAGGAUUAGAUACCCUGGUAGUCCACGCCG